AAAAGGCAUACGAAUCAGAAAGCACGUAGCACGUGAUACGGUGGAAGCUUUCCAUCCAUAUCAGGAAAAACUUGGAUACUUGAAUGCCGUCAACCGAACAUGACACCAAACAGCAGCACGCCUCCUACGCACCCUUAGCGAAUGUUGGUCUCCCACGCGCCGGGCUCAGCAGGUUGGAGUACCAGCCAAGGUG